CCUCAUUCAAUGAGCAGAGUGGGUGACAUUCACUUAAUGAUUUUUUUGUGUCAAAGUGCUGUAACUUGUAAAGAUUCAACUGAUGAGGAGAAAGACAGAGUAUCGUCCGCCGAUUUUCCAUCCACGGCGUGACAUUAUGGUGGGAGUGAGAGGCAGGCAUAGGGUGCUUGGCAGCACUGCCCAUGGACCCCAGCCUAUGGCUGCUGAACUCACAGUGCCUGGGGAGGGCACUUGCAUGCAGACCACCACCCUGGCCUGGAAACCUGGAGGCCAAACACAAUCAGGCCCUGAGAAGGAGGUUUGGGAAGCUUGCUGCUGACAGAACUUGCUCCAGCAACCAGAGGCAAAGGGCCUUCUUUUCCAGUCUAGGGCUGCACUUCUAUUCAUAACCACGUUGAAGAAAUUCAGAUUCAAAUGUCGACUCAACCUGGCACCUUUCUUGCAGCACAGUGGUGCUGUGUUGUGACCAUGCCGAAACUCAUUCUGGGAAUGAAACCCAGCCUUGAUUUUUUUUGAAAUUAUUUGUUGCAACUGGAAAAUGCCAGAGCCUUAAUUCUUACAGUGCUCUUACUGAUGCAGAGACUGCUACGCAAAUUUGGCACAACUUGUUGUUUCUCAUCAAGAAAAGCCUAAGACUGGAAUAAUAAGGAAAUUCCCAAUCAGGGUGAAGGUGCAUUGGCAAAACUGUUUUGGGCAGUUUAAACAGCUUAUCACACAUUGUAUACCUGGAGGAUGGGAUAAAAAUAGUUGUUCAUGCUCAUAAAUUGAAAUUGUUGCAUAGCAAUGUUAAAGACUUCUGUAUUAACCAGCUGAAAUUUAAGACCAAUGUUUCACAUUAGGAUUUCUGUAUAACAAAUGUAAGACAAGCUCAUCAUAACAUUUUUGCAGUAGGAAACAGUGGUGGUAUCAUUCCAAUAUCUAUUAUUUUGUUUCAGGAAAUGCAGUUAUCACAUUGUUUUUGUGCUAAGUCAUGGGCUAGGGAUAGCAAGGACAUUUCCUUAAUCCUAUCAGACUUCCUCCAAAUUAUGGCUAUGUUCAAUACAGUCAAAGUCACAUUACCUGAAUGUCAGGAAUUGCGUAACAACGCAUUCCUAUAAACACUUGAGCUGUUGGGUAGAGCUUCACUUCACAAAGAAGGAAGAUGAUUGCUCCUUAGAGGAACUUCCAAUUAUAUGUUGGUUAUUGCCUGAACAAACUACUUACAAUCCAAAAGGGUCACUUCAGCCUCUUUACGUGAGAGCUGUUCUUCUGCAGUCUUACAGCGUUCAGCAGGUGUAGUUGACUUCAGAUGUAUUUUUCAUGACAGGAUAGCUUGCCAGCCUCAGCGUCCUGCUCCGGACAAGAAUGGGGAAAUAUUUUCGACAAUAGCAGAGGUGUCUCUUUCUGGUGACUUCCCCUGUAGGUAAUGCAGUACAGCACACCCAUGUCACAUAUGAUACCUUAUUAACCACUUUAGAAAUCUGAGAUGGUUGCAUAUUAUAGUUAUCCAUCAUCCUCUCACUGAGCUGUGUUUGAUGUCAGUUGCUUAGCUGGUAUUUGUGAUCUCUGUUUUGGAAAGUCUAUAAAAGCUUCAUGAAAAACUUGGAA